AUUGAACGCUGGCGGCAGGCUUAACACAUGCAAGUCGAGCGGGGUGAUGGUGCUUGCACUAUCACUUAGCGGCGGACGGGUGAGUAAUGCUUAGGAAUCUGCCUAUUAGUGGGGGACAACAUCUCGAAAGGGACGCUAAUACCGCAUACGUCCUACGGGAGAAAGCAGGGGAUCACUUGUGACCUUGCGCUAAUAGAUGAGCCUAAGUCGGGUUAGCUAGUUGGUGGGGUAAAGGCCUACCAAGGCGACGAUCUGUAGCGGGUCUGAGAGGAUGGUCCGCCAGACUGGAACUGAGAACCGGCCCAGACGCCUCCGGGAGGCAGGAGUGGGGAAUAUUGGACAAUGGGGCGAACCCUGGUCCAGCCAUGCCGCGUGUGUGAAGAAGGCCUUAUGGUUGUAAAGCACUUUAAGCGAGGAGGAGGCUCUUUUGGUUAAUACCCAAGAUGAGUGGACGUUACUCGCAGAAUAAGCACCGGCUAACUCUGUGCCAGCCGCCGCCGUAA
rnacentral:rRNA from 1 species